rnacentral:lncRNA from 1 species
UACCGGUCAGACUCCAGGUCUUAUAUCUUGAAACUGUAAGUCCCUGAAUUCACAGACAAUUCAGAGUAAGGAUGGAGGCAAAGAAGAGGACCUUGGGUUUACUGUUCACCAGAUGACCUCAUAAAGGUGUUCAGUGAUGAAGAGGAGUGGCUGAAGAAAUGGCUGUCUAGAGUCAACAAGAACCUACCCCAAAGUUUGACCUUUGCCUUAAGUCAGUAACUGAGGAGGGCCAUGGUCCUGAGUUCAGUCCAGGCCCCAAGAAGAUUCAGAGCCGGCAGUUGUCCUCUGGUUUCUAAAGUAUGUUAUUGGGCUAAAGAUUUCAAGACAUUUAUCCUUCUUUGCUUUCUAUCACAGCCAUUAAAUGUUUUAGAUAUUUUCUGCCAGAAGGCAGGAAUCAUGAAGAUAACAAAUAUUAAAGACAAAACAAAAUAACUUUUAAUGA